UACGUAGGGUGCGAGCGUUAAUCGGAAUUACUGGGCGUAAAGCGUGCGCAGGCGGUUUUGUAAGCCAGAUGUGAAAGCCCCGGGCUUAACCUGGGAAUGGCAUUUGGGACUGCAAGGCUUGAGUGCGGCAGAGGAGACUGGAAUUCCUGGUGUAGCAGGGAAAUGCGUAGAUAUCAGGAGGAAUACCGAUGGCGAAGGCAGGUCUCUGGGCUGACACUGACGCUCAUGCACGAAAGCGUGGGGAGCGAACAGG
rnacentral:rRNA from 1 species